rnacentral:rRNA from 1 species
UACGAAGGGGGCUAGCGUUGCUCGGAAUCACUGGGCGUAAAGCGCACGUAGGCGGCUUUUUAAGUCAGAGGUGAAAUCCUGGAGCUCAACUCCAGAACUGCCUUUGAUACUGGAGAGCUUGAGUCCGGGAGAGGUGAGUGGAACUGCGAGUGUAGAGGUGAAAUUCGUAGAUAUUCGCAAGAACACCAGUGGCGAAGGCGGACUCACUGGCCCGGUACUGACGCUGAGGUGCGAAAGCGUGGGAGCA